UGGACUACUGGGGUUUCUAAUCCUGUUUGCUCCCCACGCUUUCGCACCUCAGCGUCAGUAUCGAGCCAGUGAGCCGCCUUCGCCACUGGUGUUCCUCCGAAUAUCUACGAAUUUCACCUCUACACUCGGAAUUCCACUCACCUCUCUCGAACUCCAGACUGGAAGUUUUGAAGGCAGUUCCAAGGUUGAGCCCUGGGAUUUCACCUCCAACUUUCCAAUCCGCCUACGUGCGCUUUACGCCCAGUAAUUCCGAACAACGCUUGCACCCUCCGUAUUACCGCGGCGGCUGGCAC
rnacentral:misc_RNA from 1 species